rnacentral:rRNA from 1 species
AUUGAACGCUGGCGGCAGGCCUAACACAUGCAAGUCGAACGAGUGGCGGACGGGUGAGUAAUGUCUGGGAAACUGCCCGAUGGAGGGGGAUAACUACUGGAAACGGUAGCUAAUACCGCAUACCAUCGGAUGUGCCCAAAUGGGAUUAGUUAGUAGGUGGGGUAAUGGCUCACCUAGGCGCCGAUCCCUAGCUGGUCUGAGAGGAUGACCAGCCAAACUGGAACUGAGACACGGUCCAGACGCCUACGGGAGGCAGCAGUGGGGAAUAUUGCACAAUGGGCGCAAGCCUGAUGAAGACAUGCCGCGUGUAUGAAGAAGGCCUUCGGGUUGUAAAGUACUUUCAGCGGGGAGGCGUUACCCGCAGAAGAAGCACCGGCUAACUCCGUGCCAGCAGCCGCGGUAAUUC